CUGGAAGCCUGCCUCUCUGCUUGACUUCAAUAACUUAUCUCCAUGAAUCCCCAGCAGAAAGCAUGUUCUAUACUCCAGUUCUCGAGAAGAUGAGACGUGAGUGCUGGGGAAUUAGAAGACAGAGGGGCUUUACUGCAACAGUGAACAAGCUGAAAAUUACAAGUUUCCAGUGGGAGAAGCACGCGGGUCAAGUGUCUGCUCCGAUGAGCCGGCAGCGUGGCUGAACACACUCCGACGAGCUCACCUCCCGGAAACUCCUGCGUGCAUGCGAAUGAGGAGCAUUUCCAGUUUGUGUUUACAAGCUCCUGCAAACAAGAGCUGGGCUGUUCUCCCGAGUCAGAGGUGCGUGACUCAAAAUCGCACUAUCUGGAAAUUCAAUGAGAGGAUUCUUUUGUCCACAAAUUCCUCGCCCUUUCAACAAUCAAAAAACGAUGGCUAUGUCAAACACGA
rnacentral:lncRNA from 1 species